AGAGAAGUUUUGCUAUUAAGCCAUUGUCAUCCUGUUAUAGAUAUUAAGUCAUCCUGCUUUAUUAUAAAGGCACCAGGAGGGCCAUUUUUGUUCAUAUCUGUCAUGGGUUUAUCCCAACUUAUCCAUACACCUGGGUAGGGAGAAAUGAGUCCUGACUUAUCUGUGAUAGCCCACCCAUAAAAAAUUCCUGGAAAGCUGCUUUAUCCCAGACUCGAUCCCAGGUCCUCAGAGCAAUAGCAUAACACCUUAACCAUCCAAACUAUCCAGCCAUCAAGCUUCUGCCUUUGAGACUACUUUGAAGAAUUUCCAAAGUUUUGAUUUUUUUUUGGCAUUUUUUACUUUUAUUUGCUUUUCCUUUUUAAUUUUUAUAAAAUAAACAAACAAACAUAACAUGUGUGCUCAUAUUUUGCAAACAAUGUUGCUUAAUUUAUGAAAAAUCAUUUGAUUAUUUGAUCAUUUUCUGAAUCUAGUCUGUACUAAUUAUGUACUGUACAUGUAUAAGCAUAUUAAAGCAUGAUAAUUAUAUUAAAGUCAAACAAUUACCAGAAUAAACUGGGCUACAUUACUGAUACUAAUAACUAUUAAAUACAGAGUAAUUUGAUACUAAAUGUAGGUGUUGGCACCAUCUCUUAUUAUUUUGUAUUUAAUAAUUAUUAGCAGCAGUAAUGUAGCCAGAUUUAAUCUGGAAAUCAUUCAGCUUUACAAAUUAUGUUUUGUUUCCUUCAUCUUUAUUAAUAACGCUUUGAUGAACAAUGGCAUCUAUUUAAUGUUUUUGAAAUAUAUUAAGGACUCAGACUUGUUGAAUUUUAGCUCAAAUAUCAAUUCUAAGUAAAAAUGAAAAAUGAAAGAGACAAGUCCAAAUCCAAGUACUUGGAAUCAAAACUACCUAACUUCAAUAUUAAUCAAAAUUUUAACCUACUAAGGCAGCGCUGUCCAACUUAUCAUAGCCCACAGGCCAUAUUUUCUUCACCAAACAUUUCGGGGGCCAAAAAGGUUGCUGCUGUAUUCAGCCAGGUUAAGUGAAGUUACGCAAACUAAAUAGUACCUACUUUAAAUUCAAAUUAGAUUUAAAUUUUCACAUAGUAAAAUAAUUUUAAUAUUAAUAAUAAUAAUUUAGUAACAUAAAUUUAUUCAUAGUAAAAUGUACUCGGGAGCCAUAAAAAUUAUUUGGCAGGCCAUAUACGGCCCGCGGGCCGCCAGUUGGACAGCCCUGUACUAAGGUAUAAUUUCACAUAAAUAAAACUUUUGUAAUUUUAUGAGCUACAGUUAUUUUAAUUAAUCUUUAUGAUUUCUCUGAUUGAUAAUACAUCAUUUCUAGCAUUCCACAGAAUUUUUCUUUCAAAACAGACAAAACUCAGUGCCACUAUGUAUAAUUGCAAGU